rnacentral:rRNA from 1 species
GGGACACGUGGUAUCCUGUCUGAAUAUGGGGGGACCAUCCUCCAAGGCUAAAUACUCCUGACUGACCGAUAGUGAACCAGUACCGUGAGGGAAAGGCGAAAAGAACCCCGGCGAGGGGAGUGAAAAAGAACCUGAAACCGUGUACGUACAAGCAGUGGGAGCCUCUUUAUGGGGUGACUGCGUACCUUUUGUAUAAUGGGUCAGCGACUUAUAUUCUGUAGCAAGGUUAACCGAAUAGGGGAGCCGAAGGGAAACCGAGUCUUAACUGGGCGUUAAGUUGCAGGGUAUAGACCCGAAACCCGGUGAUCUAGCCAUGGGCAGGUUGAAGGUUGGGUAACACUAACUGGAGGACCGAACCGACUAAUGUUGAAAAAUUAGCGGAUGACUUGUGGCUGGGGGUGAAAGGCCAAUCAAACCGGGAGAUAGCUGGUUCUCCCCGAAAGCUAUUUAGGUAGCGCCUCGUGAAUUCAUCUCCGGGGGUAGAGCACUGUUUCGGCAAGGGGGUCAUCCCGACUUACCAACCCGAUGCAAACUGCGAAUACCGGAGAAUGUUAUCACGGGAGACACACGGCGGGUGCUAACGUCCGUCGUGAAGAGGGAAACAACCCAGACCGCCAGCUAAGGUCCCAAAGUCAUGGUUAAGUGGGAAACGAUGUGGGAAGGCCCAGACAGCCAGGAUGUUGGCUUAGAAGCAGCCAUCAUUUAAAGAAAGCGUAAUAGCUCACUGGUCGAGUCGGCCUGCGCGGAAGAUGUAACGGGGCUAAACCAUGCACCGAAGCUGCGGCAGCGACACUAAGUGUUGUUGGGUAGGGGAGCGUU